rnacentral:tRNA from 1 species
ACCCUGGUGGCACAGUGGUGAAAGCAUUUGGCUACUGACCGAAAGAUCAGUGGUUCAAACCCACUCAGAGGCU